AACAAAACAAACCAGUACUGCUCUAUGUAUAAUCCUAGGCAAAGGCCUUUCCUUUUUCAGUGUGAAAGAUAAUGGAUUUUCAGAAGGGGAAUUUUUAUUUAAGAUUUACUGUUUGUAUGUUCUUAGCGUCUUUCCCAGAACCUUGGGCAUUGCAAAUGUUCCAUGUUUAUAUAAAUGCAUAAAAUGUUUUUAUUGAAGAAAUUUAUCUCUAAUGGUGGUUAAAUCAUAGAAUUUCAAGUUAUUUGGAUCUCAACAGGGAAAGGGGUUUAGUGGAAAGAGCAUAAGUUUUAAAUCACUUCUCUUGGAUUCUGGCUCAGCCACUAGGUAAUCAAGUCCCGGUUACUUUGCAGCUCUGAAUUAGAUUUCCAGCUCUGUAGAAUGGAAUUAAUGACUGUUGUCUAUGAAGGGUGUUAUGAGGAUUAAACUCUCAGUCUAUGUGAGUCUUUAAUACACAGCAAGCAUCCAGGGAGUUUCUUUCCUCUUUUAUCCUCCCACUGGCACAGGCAAUCAUGCCUGGCCACUCAUAAUCACGUAGAUUCACGGAAUAAUAUGGGCCUUCAUGUAUUUUUUAAGGGUGGGCUGCAUCUUCUGGUAACACACCAUCACUGUGUGAAUUCUAUCUGCCCUCAUCUGACUCCCAGUCAUUGAUGAUGGAAGGCAGUUUGGUCAGAUUCUGGGAGAAACACUAAAAAACUCAAUAGUCAGAGAUGCUGGUUCCCAAUGACUUGCAGCCUGAUAGCCAAAGAAAGGUCAUUUACUUCAAUAUCUAAAGUAUAUGAGAGGAAAGGAAGGAGCUAAUAUGAGUUGCAUAUAAGGGGCUGGAACAUUUCAUGGCAGGGAGAGAAGAAAGUCCCAGUUGAGGGUUCACUAAUGCUUUUGUGGGAAAGAGGGAAAGAGGGCCUUCAGGUCUUGAAGGGCAAGUUUGAUUAGGGGAGGUCAGAAAAAGAAAACUAAAAAAAACCUACAAAGAAAAAAAGUAUUUGUUAUUGUUAAACCAAAAUCAUCUCUAUGAAAAUCAACUUUAAAGACCAAAUAGUUAUCAGCAAUUAAUCUCCAUAGUGAAAUGCCUCACAUUAUCCAGUUCACAUGGAAUACUUUUAUAGUAACCACAGAUUCUGCUUAAAGUGGAUGUAUACUCUUCCCCCUCCCUUCCAAACUAGUUCCAUGCUCCUGAAAACAUUAUCUGUGAAAUAUAAAUAUAAUUGGUGGGAUACUCUAAUGGAAGUAAAAAGAAUCAAACUCAAUUUCCUUAAAAGCCAAUUUCCAAGGCACAUUCUCUAAAAGCAGUAUCCACUGGAGGGACUUGGCUGAACUGAGGGAGGCAGAAUGGAAAAAAACAAUGGCCCAAGCAGGGAAAUGUUAUUAGAAAAGUUCAGCUGUGUCUAAUCCAGGUGUCGGGGGUUAGAAGAGUGGUUGAGGGCACACACUAUAGUGCACAAAUUCCACCUUGCAGAAAGCUGGUCUGACUUUGUACCAUGGUAUCAAUUAAUUAGUUGUGGAUGCUCCAGGGUAUGCGUGAGUGGAGGGCUUUCAUGGGGUGUAAACUCCCAGGCACGUGGGGUCAGGGGACUCCUCUCUGCAGUGGGCAAUUCUCCAAUGAAAGUUGUGUAGGUGAAAGCCAUGAUCUGCAGCAUUUGCAGCAGCUAGGUGAGGGUGUCCCCAGGAGCAAAGAAAAAUCUGGGUAGGACACUAACAACAUCUGUUGUAUUCUUCUCUUUAAAUCUCUCACAUCCACUUGAUUAUCAUAUGAGUUCUCUCUAUCCAAGUGUAGCAUUCCCAGGAUUCUCUGGGAACUUACCAGAGGAAGGUUGGUGGGACAGACUAUAGUCUCCAAAGCUACAGUGUGUCACGAGACUACAGCUAGUAUUCAACACCACUCUCCUUUCUCUACCACCCUUUGUAGAUUUGGCUCCAUCUCAGCUAACACUUCUCUGGUCCAGGUUAGUUUUCUUCUGUAAGGGGUGGGAGCCUCUGAUUUGCAUGCACUUAUCAGCCUGUGGCUGCUGUACUUGCCCAGUGACAGUUGGGUCUGGGAGCACCAAGAGAUGCCAUCAUGGAACACUAUAGUGGGAAACAUAUUACCUUUCCUGCCUUUAUUACGAGUUCUCACCACUCUCCCUGUGGAAGGAAGUACAUGAAAUGUGCUUAUCACCAAAUGGCCAGCUGGUCUCCAAGAAGAAUGGUACCAUUUGGGGGACUGACACCUGUUCUUUUUUGCUGACAUGUCAAAAUUCAGUGAGGGCAGUGGCUACACAAUCCCUGAUGAGAGGGAACUCCAGUUAUUGGGCCCAGCACAGCCUGCACCUCUGCCACCAUAGCAGUGGUAUUCAUGAGCCCAUCUGUAAGCAUGGGAGUAUCAAAGAACAAAGGCAAGUUGACAUCAGUCAAGCAAUCCAUCCUGUCUACGUGGUUGUUUAGUGACUACUCUGCAGUGGAUGCUUUCUGGUAGGAAUUAACAUACAAUAAAAAUAUUUUCACACUUUUUGUCAAUUUGUAAGUCUAUCCAUAUAAUCUUGCCUAAUCAAGCAUCAUUCACUACUGCCCAUUGGGACAUAUAUGUCUCUACCUUGGAUUAUUUCUGCUUCCACACAAAGCAGAUGAUGUGGUGCAAGGCUCAAGCCCCUAGCCCUUAGAGCAUUUCCCUCAUCAUAGUCUCUUAGGGAAUUUUUGAGUAGGGUCAGGGCAUAGCAGCAGUUCUGGCUUGCACAAACUUGCUGAGCUGACCCAUCUGUAAAUCAGGCUUGGGCAUUUGCUUCCUUUUUUAGCUGGUUGUGGGGAACCCCUCAUGAGGCUACUGGUGUGAAUUGAAAGAGACCUAUCAAGGCAACACUGGCCAAUGACAUGGAGGCCUUAGCCACCUGUUUCUGAAGCCUAGGUCUUCCCUUUGCACUAUGUAAGCCCACUGUCAAUGUUUCACUCCUACCUUAUAACUGAUGGAUGCUGCAUGGCCUGACAAUAGAAGCCAUUGUAUGCAACAGUACGGAUCUAAUGGUGGGCAGUGACAGCCUUAUGGGCAGUUUGGUGUGCUGUAUCCAGAUGCUCUCUUUCUCAGGGCCUGGUAGCAUGCCAGAAGCUGCUUUUCAAAUGGUAUUUGGACUUUGCUGCAGGCAGCCUGGUCUUACUCUGAGAAUCUAGGGCCUGCACUGUGCCUCUCUUAUUGACUCUUGCUGGAGGUGCCACAUGGUGUCUUUUCCCAACACAGAAACAUUUAGUACCAGGGGUUCUGCCAGGCCAUAUGGCCCAAUUUGCAGAGACGGCUGUAGAGCAGCCAAGACCUGCUGCUGAAAUUUGCUUUAGACUCCACUCAAAACUAGCAGUUAUCAUAUCAUCUAAAAAGUGGGUCCGAGAAGUAUUCCUAAGUAUGGAAUAUGCUGCCUCUAAAACUCAGAGGCCUACCAGUGGUUGUGAUUCUUUCCUAAUAGUUGAGGUACAAGUUGCAAUACAAUAGAGGAUAUGGUGGUUGUAAAAAUAUAUCCACAAAAUUUUUGAUACUCUUCUCAAAAGAUGAAGCUUAAUCCCAGCAAGCCAGCCCUGUUGUCAUGAGGAUAUCCAGGAAGCCUGUGGAAAGGCCUGAGGAACUGAGGUCUGCAGCGAUAGCCAUGUGAAUGUGCUUGGAGGUCAAUCCUAGCCCAGGCAGGCCCUGAGGUGUCAGAAGCCCCAGUUAUUGGUUACACAGCAACAAGUGACUAAUAUAGGAAAGAAAUGUUUUGGCAGGCCCCAGAUACCAGGAUCCAAAAAUCUUUAUCAAUGCGGCCUCUGAGUCUUUGUAGAGUUUCCUUCCCAUAGUCUGAAUAACAUGAGUCUUACCAAGAUAUAUCAAUACUUGUCACAUUCCAAUGACCAUGAUUCCGUUAAUGCAAUGAACCAAUGAGAUAUUUUUAGGAAUUUUAGAUGAUCCAGGAGAGAGCAAGGGAGAUACCACAGACUUUCCAUUCUAUGCCCAUUUCAUGUUAGGAUACAUUGCUUCUGAUUCUUCUGCCUAUGAGUAAGAAAAAUAAUAAUUUCCCAGACCAGUAACUGUAUAGCAGGGACAUGAGAUUAGGUUCGUCUACUCCAGCAAAGCUACCAUAUCCUGCAUAAGAGCUGUAACUCACUGUGGUAAUUUAUGGUUACCUGCCCUAAUUCCACAUGGUAGUAUAAACCAUCUCAUAUUUUGCCAUUUUGCGAGAAAAUGGUAAAUAAUUCAUUAGCAUUUGUUGUGAGGCAUUAAAAAAUACCACACUAAUAUAUUAACUGAGCAAGGAAAUGAGAGAAAAGGAGUAAAGUAAAAUCAAAAGAUAAUAUCACUGAUGCUAAUUUCCUGAUUUUAUGUGUUUUAGAGAUUAAUAAUAUGUCAAGCAUUGUGUAUUUCAAAGAUUAUUGAGAGCAAAAUGUAAUUGUGUAAACUUUUUGUUUAAAUUGUGUAAACUUUUGUGGUAAAGUACUAAAUCAUUUUGUUGGGAUAUCUUGAAAACAAUUUUAUCCUACUGGAAAAUGUUUAUCUUCUUUAUGUUCUUUAAGAGGCAUUUUAAUCUGGGAUCUCAGGCUGUACUGUGUGCAUUCCAGCAGUUAAAAAAGCCAUUGGAGCAACAGACCAUUGAAAUCAUCGCUGUCCUAAAGAUACAGUUUAACAAUGGCAAACAAAAACAAAAACGAAAAAUGUACUGCAAUCAGACCACAGUGUAUAAAAGAGAGCAAAGACAGUGGCUGUAAUUUCAAUUCCAGAGAUUACGUAGUAGAAGAAAUAAUGAAGACACUUGAUACUGAUGAAAACCUGUGAGGACAACAAAGAAACCUGAGUAUUACUUGUAUUAGAAAUGGAAUUUUAGUUAAGUUAACUGAUUGGUAUCUGACAGGAGAUAAAUGAUAGAAUUUUAGUAUCAGUGUCUUUAUUUUCUUGAUGAAGAAACAGAUGACCAUGGAUUGGGUCUUGUAGCAAAAUAGCAGGCCUUGUCAGUAGGAAAACAGCAUGGCCAUCUGGCUUCCUGGUGCUGUGCUGCCCUAUCUGUUUUCUUACAAGAAGGCUGUCUAAAAGAAGGGCAGCAGUCACAGCCAAGGCAGGCCGUGCAUGGACGUCUCUUUGCCAGUUACCUUAGUAGUCUUCCACUGAGUUAGCUUUUGGUUACCACCUUAAACAAGCAAUUUGGGUAAACAAGCAAUAUCUCUUUUAGAUAUAAUUUUAAAACAAUUUAUUAGAUUUAAUUGGCAUAUGAUAAAUUGCACUCUUCAAAUGCACAAGUGGAUAGCUUUUGAUAGGUGUACACCUGUGAAACUAUCAAAGUAUAACGAACAUCAAUAAUGAACAUCAAUAUUGUUCAUUGUUAAAGACAAUGAACAUCCUAUUUAUCAUUCCCAAAAGAAUCUCCUAUCCUUUGGUAAUGCCUCCCUCUUGAGUCUUCCUGACCUCUCCUCAUUCCCAGGCAAUGAUGUUACUUUAAAUAAGUUUGCAUUUUCCAGAACUUUAUGUGAAGAGUACUGUAUAUACUAUGAUCUUUGUAUUUCCUCUUUAACUAAAUAGUUAUUUUGAGAUUAAUAUAUGUGUUUGUCUGUUUAAUAAAUUAUUUCUUGCUAUUGCUGGGUAGAAUUCCACUGAAUGGAUAUACAGCAAUUUAUCUAUAAUUUCAUCUUUUGGGCAUUUGGAUUGAUUCCAGUUGUAGGUAAUGACAAAUUAGCUGGCUACAAAUAUUUGUCUAGAAGUCUUUGUAUGGCUAUGGACUUUAAUUUCUCUUGUGUAAAUACCUAAGAGUAUAAUUCCUGAGUCAUAUAGUAAAUGUAUGCUUAACAUUCUAGUAGAAACUUGUAUUGUUUUUCAAAGUGCUUGUACUGUUUUACAUUCCCACCAGCAUUGCUUGGGUUUCAGCGCAUGCUUGCUAACACUUUGUUAAGUAAGUAACUAUGAGUUUAGACAUGGUCGUGGAUGUGAAAUCCCAUUGUGGUUUUAACUUUCCCAGUAACUAAUGAUUUUGAGCAUAUUUUCAUGUUUUUUUUUUGCAAUGCAUAUAUCUUUUUUUGUGUAGGAUCUAUUCAAAUGUUUGUCCACUUUUAAAGUUAUGUUUCUUGUUUUCUUAUUGUUGAGUUUGGAGAGUUUAUUUUCAUAUUUUGAAUACAUCAUUUAUGUGACUUCAUAAUCCUUUCUUCCAGUCUGUGGCUUGUCUUUCAUUAAUUAGUUUAACACUGUAUUUUGAAGCCAAGAAAUUCACAAUUUAAAUAACACCAAAUUUGUGAUAUUUAAAUUUUCUUUUAUUCAUGCUUUUGCUAUUCUAAUUUUUUUUUUGCCUGACUCAAGAUCACAAAGAUUUUUUCCUGUAAUUUUUUUCCAGAAAUUUCAUAUUUCUACAUUUAAUAUUUGGGUAUUAUCUAUUUUUAUUAUUUUUUGUUUAUGUUGCAAUGUAUAGAUCAAAGUUUUUUUCUAUAUAUACUUACAACUGAUCAUUUGUUAAAAAGAUUAUUCGUUUUCUACAGAUUUGUCUUUAAACUUUUGUCAAAAACAAAUUGACCAUAUUUGUGUGGGUGUACCAUGUUUGUAUGGGUGUACUUUUACACUAUUCUGUUUUCUUGAUCUGGUUUUCUAUUUUGAUGCUGAUAUCACACCUUGAUUAUUGUAACUGCAUAAGUCUUGAAGUCAAAUGUUGUUUCUUCAUCUUUUGAGAUGACCAUUGUUUUUAGUCUGAUUAUAUGGUGAAUUAUAUUAUUAUCGGCCUAUUUAUUGUCAGCCUUGCAUUUUUUUGUAUUAUCCUUUUUUAUAUUGUUUGAUUAGACUUAUCAAAAUUUUGUUAAGGAUUUUUGUACCUAUGUUCAUGAUGGACACUCGUCUACAAUUUUCUUGUCAUGCCCUUGCCUAGAUUUUAUAUAAAAAUCUUGGUGGCCUCAUUGAAUGAGUAGAUAUUUUCCUCCUCUUUACAAUUCUACAAGAUUUCAUGUAAAAAUUAUAUUAUUUCUCAAGUAAUUGGUAGAAUUCCUCAGCAAAAUGAUAUGGGUCUAUGGGUUUAUUUGUGGGAACUGAAGUUUCGAUUUCUGUGAUUGAUGUAGGGCUAUUCAGAUUGUUUAUUUAUUUUUAAUGAGCCUUGAUGAUUGUGUUUUUAAAAUAAUUUGUCAUCUAAGUUGUAUAACUUACUGGCAUAAAGCUGUUCACAAUUUUUUUUUGUUAUCAUCUUAAUAUGUCUAGAAUCUGUAGUGAUAUCAAUUUCAUCAUUCAUAGUAUUGGUAAUUUGUGUCUUUAUUAACUUUCUAAAAACCACAGCUUUGAGAUUCAUUGUUUUUUCUCUACUUCUUUUUCUGUUUCUUAUUGAUUUUGAUUACUACUACUACUGUCAUUAUUGUUAUUAGCUUCUGGAAUCGAUUUGCUCUUUUUUUGCUUGUUUGUUUUGGUUUUAUUUUGUUUUAAGGUAAAAGCUGAUAUUAUUGACUUGAAACUUUUUUCUUUUCUAAUCUUGGUGGUAAGGCUGUAAAAUUUUCCCUAAGGUCUGUUUUAGCUAUAUCCCACAAAAUUUAAUAUAUUAGCCUUUUAUUUCUAUUUAUUUAAACAUAAUUUCUAAUUUCCCUUUCAAUUUCUUCUUUGCUUCAUGGGUUAUUUAGAAUUGUGCUAUUCAGAUUUUGAAUAUUUGGGGGUAUUCAAAAAUAUUUUUUGUUGAUAAUUUCUAAUUUAAUUCUGUGGCAGUCAGAGAACUUACUUCUGGUGGUUUGAAUCCUUUAAACGGUAGUGAGACUUAUUUAUGGUCCUGAAUUCUUUUAAACAUAUUGAGACUUGUUGAUGGUCCAUAUUAGGUCUCUCUUGCUAAAUGUUCCAUGUACUUUUAAAAAUAAUAAAUUUUCUGCCCUUAUUGGAUGGAGUGGAGUAAUCCAUAAAUGUCAGUUAGUGCACAUUGGUUAAUGGUGUUGCUUGAGUAUUCCAUAUUGUGCAAAAAUGGUUAAUGUAGCAGAGCUGAGACUGCCUAUCCUUAGAAACUUAUUCUUGAAAGGUUUACCCUUGACUGGCAUCUGGGAACUUGAUCGGUAAACAUUUCCCUUGACUGAUAUAAAACUUUCUUUGAAUGAUAAGAGUGGCUCAUUGUGCAUAGACUGUUUGUGAAAAUAAUAUGGCUUAUCCUGAACACGUAAUUUUUUCCUGGGAGUUUGGAAUUUCGGUACAUCCUAGGCAGAAGGUACCUGUAUGACCAGCUCCUAAUGAAAAUGUGGGUACUGAGUAGCUAAUGAGAUUCCCUGAGUGGACAUAUUGCACACAUGUAUUUGUAUUGCUGGGGGUAAUGUACUCUGCAUCAACCCUUACAGGAGGGAGAGAGGAUAAAGUAGCUUAUUUAUUUUAAUUUCUAUUUCUCUAACUUCUUAAACAUAUGAAUUGCAGUUAUAAUAACUGUUUCACAUUCUCAUUUAGAAACGUGUUAUUUCUGGCUCAGCUUCUAUUGACUGAUUUUUAUAUCCACUCUGUGUUUCAUUUUCCUGCUUCUUAGCAUGCCUAAUAAUAUUUGAAUUUCACAUUAACUUUAGGAUCAGCUUGUAAUUUAUGUGAAAAAUAAAGGUGGAAUUUUGAUAGAGAUUGCUUUUUCCAGCUUUUGAUAAAUAAAAAUUGUAUAUAUGUUGGGUAUUUAAUGUGAUGUUUUGAUACAUGAACAGAUUGUGAAAUAAUUGCCACAAUCUCUCACCUCACACGAUUAUGAUUUUUGUGUGUGUGGUGAAAACAUUUAAGAUCUACUGUCUUAUAAAACUCCAAGUAUAAAAUAUAGUAUUAUUGACCAUAGUAGUAUUGCUAUCUUAACAGCAUUAAGACUUUUAACACAUGAACAUAACAUGUUUUUCCAUUUAUGUAGAUCUUCUUUAAUUUCUUUCAACAAUGUUUCUAGUUUUCUAUUUACAAAUGUGCAUUACAUUGCACAUUUUUGGUUGAAUUUAUUCUUAAUAUUUUAUUUUAUUUUCUAUUGUAAGUAUAAUAGUUUUCUUAGUUUAGUUUUUGUAUUGUUCAUUGAUACUAUAUAGAAAUGCAACUGAGUUUUAAAUAUUGAUCUUGGUGUGAAACAGGUUAACUAAUUACCAAUAUUUUCUGAGAUCAGACAAGAUCACACAUGUUCAGACUGGUAUGACCAUGGUGACUAAUUACCAAUACUAAGGAAGGACUCCCAUUGCAUGGAGGAUAACAAAGAUCAUUGCUAUGCCAACCACCAGGAGCAGGAUCCAAACACUUUUGUUCACUCCAUCCUGGGCUGCACCUUUACUAUUCACCCAAGUUCAGUUAGAUACAACACUCACAUUGUACAAGUUAUAUGGAACAGGAUUAUUACUUACAGAUAGGUGGCAAGGGACAACAGAAGCCCAGGAUCCACAGUGAGCUGGUCAGCCGAGGCUCUGGAGAGCUGUCGGGGGUGGAUGGAGUCCUGACUGAACAUGCCACACUUGGACUGCAGCUUAGGGAUCCCAAAAGGCAACCCACCUUGAGUUAACUCAGGGGACAUGUGAGUUGCUGGGCUAAAGCAUUGAAGGGCGUCUUGCUUCUAAGAUAAAGACUAAAGCUCAGGCUAUCCUGAGCAAUUCUUCUCUAACUCAAGAAGUUCUCUUCCCUAGGAGGGCAAAUAACAAAGCCUGGUCUAUUUCUAGCAGUUCCUCCCUGUCUCAGGAUAUUGCAUGCUCACACAUGCUUCAACUAUUCUGAGAACUACAAUCAACAAGACAGAAGAAGACUAGAUGAUGUUUCCUUUCCUGCCCAAUUUAUCUGGUUAAAACGUCUGAUACACUGUUGAAUAGAAGAGGCAAGGGCACAUGUUCAUGUCUUGUUCCUGAUAUUGGGAGAAAGCAUCCCGUUUUUCACCACUCUGGCCAGGACAGCCUAUCUGUGCAGGAGGCAUUGCUGGCACCCCGUGGGGACUGAGGACCAAGGAGGAGCUGCUCCCCCACACACGGUUCGUACUUCUGCUCUGUGAAGAGAGACAACUGUGCCCUGUCACCUUCACUGAACUAUGAGGUGUGUCCUGAUGCUGUGCAUGACAUCUUGGGUUUGCAGAACUGUUCACUCUCUCCCUGGAUUUAAAAUGAGUUCAAAUUAUAAGACCUUCAUUUUAUUGGUAAUAUAUUAAAAUUUGGGGGAAAGAACUAGUUUUAAAACUUUCUAUUAAGCCUAAAGUAGUGGCAAAUUUCAUAAUUAGAUUGCACAAUAUUGGAUAGCUUAAAAAUUUCAAAAUUGCCAAUUUGUUACUUGUCUGUAUUUGAUGUAUACUGUAAAAUACAAAAUGCACUUUAUGUUUUCCAUCGUGCAACAGUGAAACACUGGAGAUUCAUUCAAUCAUAUAACGGGUAUUUAUUGAAUGUCCAUGAUACGUCAGGCAACUUGGAUUGCUAAGAUAAAUAAGAUGUUUAAGUAGUGUCAUUUAGUGUUACAGAUAUGAUGACAGAAGUAUGUGCUGUAUAUAUUAAUGCUUCUGAAGCAAAGUGUGGGCAGGCAGAUUACUUUAUAAAAAGAAAUAAAAGUCAUCUCAAUUAGAAGGAAAGAAGUAAAACUAGCUCUAUUUGCACUUGAAAUUAUCUUUCACAUAUAAGAUCCUAAAGCAACCAGAAAGAAGCCAUUAGAAUGAAGAGCUGGUAAGUUUAGCAAGGGUUUGGUAUACUCAGUCAAUAUACAAAAAUCAAUCUGCCUUUAUGCACUAGCAAUGAAACAAUCCAAAAUUUAAAUGAAAACAAUUCCAUUUACAACAAUAGCAUCCAAAAUGAAAUGCUUAAGAACACAUUUAGCAAAAGAAGUGCAAGACUUCUACACUGAAAACUAAAAAACAUCGUUAUGUGUGAAGGGGAGGGAAGAAAGGAGGCUAGAGGAUAACUUAAGAAUUAAGGGCAUCUUAUUUUGGGUUGAUAAUGUUGAGGAUGCUUAUGACUGAAAGGGAGUUAUUCAUUCUUCAGUGAUUUCUUAAUUUGAAAUAUGGAACCAAUGUUUCUGCAUAACAUAAACAUACAAAUGAAUUAAAGUGAAAAUUCUAAGGUUCCCAUUAUUGCUAUGCUUAUGUUUAUGAGAGAAUUUUAAGAUUUUAUCAAGUUCCCAAAGUACUCGAAAAAGAAAAAAAAAUCAUGGUGGGUAUUAUAUAGCUUAAACAUUCCAGUUUGCCCAGUCUUGAUAAAAAUCACUUAAAAAAACAGAAAAAAAUUGAAUUUUUUUAGGUUUGAUUUGGUUGUUGUCAUUUCAAAAUCAAGGUUCCCAAUCAGCUUUCUGAUUGCUAUCUGAUAAAGGUAAUUAAAAAUAGAUACAUACAGCACAUUAGAGCAUUACUGCUUAUGAAAGGAUUCCAAAUAAAGUGUUCAAAUACAGGGGUUAUCUUAGUCUAGAGAUGUUAAUAUUUUAUAAUAUCAAGCUCCAUGGUACAUAUAAUUCACUUUAUAAGCUAUUAAAAAGAUAUAACACUUUAUAUGUUUUAUAAAUGAUUUUCCCCAAGCCCAGAUCACUUACAGUAAUAAAUACAUAAAUACACAAACAUGUGUAUAUAUAUAUAUACACACACACACACAUACACACACACGCACACAUACAUAGUAAAAAGCUUUCUGAUUUUCCCUAGGAUUAAUACUUUCUGAAGAGCCAAAUUUCUCAAAAGGCACAAGAAUUUACCACUUCAAGCUCAAAAACCUAAAAAUAAAAUUAGCAAACAAAUCACCAUGCUUUAUUUUGUGGUAAAUUUUUCAAAAAUGUAUUUCAUAUCAUUCAGACUUCUUAAACCAAAGAAAAGUUUAAAAUAUUUUGUCAUUAUAAACAUUAUUAUGUUUUGAUUUUAAACAUUGAAAAAUUUCAAAUAUUAUUAGAAUUAAGUGACAAAAAGUCCACAUAGGACCAGACCAAGCUCUUGUAGCCCUUUUUAAUAAAGCAUAUGAUUUCGAUUUUUCUUAUUUUUUCAUACUUUCUUAUUUCUCAGUCUAUUUCUAAGAGGUAAGCUGGCUGUAGGGGUGAGGGGCGAGUGUAUGCACUGUAUAGCUAGCAGGCAUUGCAAAAACCUGGCAUAAUUUCUGGACAAUGAGAGUGUCAUGCCUUUGCGAUGUGCAGCGUAAGUAGAGCGGAUGCCUAUGACGGCCCUUCCCAUGGCCUGGGCAUCAGAACUGCUUCAGAGUCCAAGGAGGGGUCCUAGGUCACCCGUUAUUGUGUGUGGAGGAUUGUCCUCAAAAACACUUUUUUCUCCCUUUUAAAUAAAAUUGAUAUCUUAGAAUUGUUACUAUAUAGGGAGACACAACUAUACCAAAUAGUUGUCAUCUGCUUUUUGACUAUGUGAGCAUUGAAUAAGUAUAAAAACAUUUCAGAAUAAAAGCAAAUGUAAAACAGCCUGGGGAAUACCUUAAAUUUGGAAUGAAAACCCGGCAGCUAUUUGCAGGCGUAUCAAUAUGGAAGAUAACUUGAAAUUAAAUUGUUCUCAACAAAUAACACAGAGCUUUAGGUGCAAUUGACUCUUAAACGUAUUUGAAUGAACUUGGAGAUCAUAUGCUAUAUCAAGGGGCAACUCUAAGAUAAUCAAUAGAAGUUUUAAAAGAUGGAGAUUUUUGUUCAACAAAAGAAGAAAAUUCUAAUGAUGAAAGUUUUCAUUGUAAUAGACCCCUCGGGAGCUGGGCACUGUUCUAAUGGUCUUGCAGCAUUAAUUUGAUCUCAAUCCCCAUGGGCAAGACCUCAGUACAUGUCUAUAUCAAAGCGAUAGCUAGAGGAAGAAGAAGGGGAAAUAAGGUAGGGAGAGAAUGGGCAGAGGAACAGGAGAAAUACCUUCAGGAAUGGUGAAACUGAGUCACAGAAAGGUUAAAGCAAUCACAUGGGUGGAAAGUCAUAGGGUCAGGGUUUGAACCUAGGAAGGCUGAAUCCAAAGCCCACAAUCUCAACCUAUAAGCUAUGAUGCCACCCAACUACGAGUUUAUACUGAAUAUUCUAAAACAAACUCUCACGUUGUAAACCCAGGUAUGGGAAAUAUUUACCAAAACUGGCCCAAUUUUCAAAAAUAAACAAGUUUUUUCUCCUGCAGCUUACAGUUCACAGGACGUGGCCUCCUUUAUGCAUAGCCCAGGAGGUGCACUGGGGUUAGGAUCAGCAUGCCCUGGGCAGUUCCAUGUGAUCACAGUGCUGCCUUGCUUUCUGGCAGCCUCCUUCUGGCUCUGCUUUGGGUUUGUAAUCAGGAGGGGCUACAUUAAACCAUAUAAAAAUAAAGCCUACAGCUGUUAUGCUCAUGGGUGAUGACUGGUAAUGAGACCUAGAAAACCCUCUAGCAAGGCUGCCUUCCAUAUAGUGGGAAAUAAUUUUUUUAUAUAAAGCACUUAGCCUAAAGUGUCUCUGUGUGUGUGUGUUUCACAUCCAUUUGUUCAUGCACCCAUUAUUUCUUUUGCUUUCCAAAUAAGGACAUUUGCAUAUGUGACCCCCUUUUUCUUGGAAGGCUCUUCUUCAACAUUUCUCCUUUUCUUUAGUUUUCUUCUUAAGCGGCACCUAGAGUGAGAGGCCUUCCCUCUCUAUCAUUCUCUCACACUUUUUCUUGUUUGUUUCUUUAUUGAGUUGAUUUUUUUUUUUAGGCUUCUGUUUGCUUCUUUUCAUCUCUCUCCCCAUAAGAAUGGAAGUUCCAGGAGGCUAGGGUCCACUCUGUCUUGUUUCCAUUGUAUGCCCAGCACCUGACUCACAGUCUGGUACACUGUACAGCAGGGGUCCCCAGCCCCCAUGCAGUGGAUGGGUGCCAGUCUGCAGCCUUGUUAAGAAAGGAGCUACACAGCAGGAGGUACUGCCUGAGCUCCACCUCCUGUCAGAUCAGCGGGGGCAUUAGAUUCUCCUAGGAGUGCAAACGCUGCAGUGAACUGUGCAUGUGAGGGAUGUAGGCUGAGCACUCCUUAUGAGAAUCGAACUAAUGCCUGAUGAUCUGAGGUGGAACAGUUUCAUCCAGGAACCAACCCCCACCACAUCGGUCAAAAAACUGUCUUCCAUGCAACUAGUCCCUGGAGCCAAAAAGACUGGGGACUGCUGCUGCAGAGGAUAAAUACAUGCUUGUAAAUGGAUUUAAAAAGUUUAUUGGAUACUGCUACACAUCAAUUGGCAAAGAAAGAAAUUAAAAGGAUGGUUCCUUCUCUGUGAAAACUUACAGUGUAAUUCUAAGUCAAUUUACAAUGCCAUAUGACAGUGAUGUGUGAUAUGUACCGGAAACAAAAUGGACAAUGUUUGACAAACAUUAUAUUUAUCUGGGGGAGUCAGAGAAAAUAACCUGAGUGAUGCCCCACUUCGGAGGAUGCUUCUUUGAGUAAUCUCUGAGGCAUUUUCCAUGGCCAAAAUGUAAAGCACUGAUAGAGAGAAAUCAUUUCUGCCUGUCUGGAAGACACAAGUGGCUUUGUCUUACUGCAUGCCCAUGCAUCCAUGGAUCUAUUAACAGCUUCUGAGGUGUAGCCAGAGACAUAAUAACACACAACCCAACAAACAAAAACACAUGACAGGGGCUCUAUGUAUAAAUUUAUAUUCACCAGAUUUGCAGAAAGAAAAACUGAGAAUUCUCUGCAAUUAAUAUAAAGCCCAGGGCCAAAGACCUGACCAUGUUAAUGCACAUAACUUUGGAAAAUAGACGAGGUGUGAUAGACUCUUCUAAGAGUUUUAGUAAGUCCCAAAUAGGAUAAGGCAACAAUGAGUACCUCACUGCAUACUUUUAGUAGGUUACAGCAUGCAGAUAGUGAUACAUUUAACUAAGUAACUAUAUAUAGUUCAUACUAUGGGCUUAAUCAUUUUAGAAGAAUCUUAUUUUAAAAUUUUCUGCAAUUUGAGCAAUGAAGUGCAGGUUGGGUGGUGCAGUUGGAUGAGCUGCUCCCUACAAAUGGGCUUGGAAAGGUCAGCACCUAUCUGGUGGGAAAUCAUAUUUUUCCUGACUAUUUGAGACAGUCAGGGUGGGGGCCAGUUGGGCUGUAGAAGAUUGUCUCCCUUCAAUGUCUGUGAAAGAGCUUCUAAGGAGAGUGAGAAGCCUUUGGCAUGCAGCAAAAUCUUUACAUUGGAGAGAACAUAGAGUCAUUGGAAAUUAAAAGCCACUUCUAGAACACUAGGAACAAGCAAAAUAGAACUGCUGAGUUGCAGAUUUUUGUUUUUAAGUUGAGGAUAUCUGAAAAUUUUUGAGGUAAGCUAAACACUCUCUGGCCUUCCGACUUCCAUCUUCCCACGGCAGCCAAUCAGACCUCAGAGUGCCCUGUGAGCUUCUGUAAGCUGCUAAGAAACCACCUAGGAGCUGACCACUUCCUCAUCCAAAUAAGCCUGCUUGCUCUUUUCAUCUUCCUAGAUACUUAGCCUAUUUUGCUUAUUAAACAAAUAGAGAAUAUGAUGAUACCAUGAUUCUGAUUCCACAAGCCACAUGUAAAACCUACUAAUCUCAAAUUUAUACUUGUUAACACUGUGCAUGCCCCAGCAUUGUGCUAAGGUGUAUUUACAAAUUCGCUGAUCUGGAGGGAAUUAAAUACACUGAAGUAGGAUCUAAGUGCUAAUAAUAUAACUCAGGAGAAGAUUUAUACUGCACCAAAGAAACAACUGGAGCCCAAUGCUGGGUAGGAACUAUGUCACAGUCAAAGAUGCAAAGAGCAGCUGAACAUAAGGAGGGGCUCCGGCUUAUAAGCUUCCCUCUCAGGGCUCUGUCCAGGCACUAACCAUGAGCAAGAUGUGGAUCAUCCUCCCCUGGGUUUCACACCAGUGUGUGCUGGCACCACCCUAUUUUUCAUUCUUUAUUCUCUUUACUCCCUACAUUUAUUCCAUGAAAAACGGAGACGAUUUAUUGUUCAAUAUGUUUUCCUGUGUGAUCCUAUUGUGAAACUUUUGCCAUUGCAUGUUUGUUGUGUUUUAUGUGUGACAUUUCAUGCCUUCAAGUGCCCUAUGACAUAAACAGAAAGAAUACAUUCAAUUUUUUAUAAAAGAAAUCAGGCUCAGAUGGUUCCUCUGGGUUCUGCCCAGUCCACACAGCUUGUAAGUAACCAAGAUGGGUGAGGACCCAGAGCUUCUCAUGUCCGUUCCAGCCAUCCACAUGGACCUGCCUCCUACCCUCAACUUGAGUAAUUAUCUAUUUUCUUUAAGACAUAAAUCAGUUUUCAAAGGGAAUGCUUCCAGAUUUUGCCCAUUGAGUAUGAUAUUGGCUGAGGGUUUGUCAUAAAUAGCUCUUAUUAUUUUGAGAUACAUCUCAUCAAUACCUAAUUUAUUGAGAGUUUUUAGCAUGAAGGGCUGUUGAAUUUUGUUGAAGGCCUUUUCUGCAUCUGUUGAGAUAAUCAUGUGGUUUUUGUCUUUGGUUCUAUAUGAUGGAUUACGUUUAUUGAUUUGCAUAUGUAGAACCAGUCUUGCAUCCCAGGGAUAAAGCCCACUUGAUCAUAGUGGAUAAGCUUUUUGAUGUGCUGCUGGAUUUGGUUUGCCAGUAUUUUACUGAGGAUUUUUGCAUUGAUAUUCAU
rnacentral:lncRNA from 10 species